rnacentral:rRNA from 1 species
UGGGGAAUUUUGGACAAUGGGGGCAACCCUGAUCCAGCAAUGCCGCGUGUGUGAAGAAGGCUUUCGGGUUGUAAAGCACUUUUGUCCGGGAAGAAAUCGCACCUGAUAAUACCGGGUGUGGAUGACGGUACCGGAAGAAUAAGGACCGGCUAACUACGUGCCAGCAGCCGCGGUAAUACGUAGGGUCCAAGCGUUAAUCGGAAUUACUGGGCGUAAAGCGUGCGCAGGCGGUUGUGCAAGACCGAUGUGAAAUCCCCGGGCUUAACCUGGGAAUUGCAUUAGUGACUGCACGGCUAGAGUGUGUCAGAGGAGGGUAGAAUUCCACGUGUAGCAGUGAAAUGCGUAGAGAUGUGGAGGAAUACCGAUGGCGAAGGCAGCCCCCUGGGAUAACACUGACGCUCAUGCACGAAAGCGUGGGGAGCAAACAGG